UAAAACUUGUGCUGAAUGAUGAUAAAACGAAACUCAUGAUGUUCUCGAACUCCAAAUCAAAGCCACUGAACCUUCCUGCUAUCACCACCUCUCAGAGCUUUGAAAUUGAGUCUGUAUCUCAAUACAGAUAUCUGGGAUUUGUGAUUGAUGAUUCUCUCUCUUUUAAGCCUCACAGUCAACAAUUGGUAAAAAAAACUCAAGUUAAAAUUAGGAUUUUAUUUUAGAAAUAAGUCUUGCUUUUCAUUUAAGGCCAAAAAAACACUUGUUGCUGCCACUUUCAUGUCAGUGCUAGACUAUGGCAAUGCUCUUUACAUGCACGCAUCCUCGCAAAGCCUACAUGCGUUGGAUACUGUCUACCAUGGGGCACUGAGUAUGCUGCUCCCUCUUCUUGGAAUCGGUUGCAAGAUAUUUUAAAUCUUCGGGAGCUGGUUUCUUGAAUGUUUUUAAAGGUGGUCUUAAUGAUCUGGAGGCAGAAAUAUCUGACUGUAGAUGUUUCAGCUAACUCGUAUUGCCCUUUUUGAUCGCUUUGUUGCUGAUGACUUAAGACAGAUUCUGAUGAAUGGUUCUUUUUGUGAUUCCUGUAUUUAUGUUCAUUGUUGUUAAGUGUUUUAUGUCUGAAACCCUGUAAUUGUGCUGCUGCCUGUCUUGGCCAGGACGCUCUUGUAAAAGAGAUUUUUAAUCUCAAUGAGACUUUUUCCUGGUUAAAUAAAG